UCACCACUAGGGCAGAAACACCCUGAACAGAGGCUAGGCAGGACCAGGGGCUCCCUGCCAGCUUCCAGGCUCUCUGUUUACCUGCUCUCCACAGGAUCUCAUGGAGGACAGCAACAGGGGCUUCCAAUCAAGAGCAGUGCUGGAAGGGCCAGGGCCAAGCACCAGUGGGAACGAGCUUGGCCUCAGGGCACAGUCCCCAGAGAGCUUGGAGGACACCCUAGAGCCAGACUGCCUAGAUGAGGACUCCUCUUUCACAUCCAGCACAUCCAGUUCCUCCACCAAAGAGGAGACGGACGUAAUGUGGAGAAGGGUGAUGUCCUCACUCAUUGGAAUACAGCGGCUUCAUAAUCCUGCUCGGAACAUCCAUUGCCAUGUCUAUGUGACAGACCAUGACUUGGAAUAUGAAGACCACCACAUCCAGGGCUUUAUUGAAAACCCAGAGCCCAUGGAGGGAAAGGCCAAAUGUGAGAAGGUCUGGGUGGUGGCUGUGAGCAUAUGGGGAUGGGACGGGGCUGGACAUGCAGAGCACAUCUUCCAGAAACAGAGACGGGGCAGAAACAAUGAGAAGCACAGCUGUCAUUCUCUGCAUGCAUUCUGGGGACACUCUCAAGGACUGGGUUUGUGUGUGGAUCUCUGAGGAAGGCAGUGGAAAGCAUUUUGUCCCUGGAGGGAACAUGGAUAGUUGGCAACUUUUACUCUGCUUGCACAUGCAGGGCCACUUCUGGUGACUGAGGAGACAACUGGCCAAUUUCCACCAUCUGGGAGAGCACUACAGCUGGAAACGCCUGAAAUGUCAUCUCCAGGCCAGCAGCUCCUGGUGACCCCUCCGCCAGCAAAACCCACU
rnacentral:lncRNA from 1 species